rnacentral:rRNA from 1 species
CAGUCGUACCGGCGGGUAAUCAGCCUUUUGGGUGUGAUUAUGUGGGGCGUGAGGAGUUAAUCACCCUCAUCUUUGCAUAUUCGUGCACUUUGGGUGUACUUGCUCGUGUGGUAGGUUAACAUCAAUUUUGAUCAUCAUAAAAUGAUUGGAGGAAUGUAGCUUCGAUCUCGUAUUGAAGUGUUAUAGCCUUUGGUAGAUGUGAUGAUCGGGAUUGAGGAUUGCAACGGAUACCCUUCGGGGCUACCUGUCUGAUCUCUGAAAGUUGCUCUGGUGCUGAAAGCUUGCUUAUGGUAUCAAAGUUGACGUUCAACAGGUUAGAACGGGAUAAA